UAGGACAUUAUUGAAAAUUACUGGUGAGGGUUGUAGCUGGCCUUUUGGGGCAUGUGCACGCCUGAGCCUUUAAUCCACACACACCUGUGAACCUAAUGUAAGGGCCCGGUAAAAAAGGCCCUAGGUCUAUCAUAACCCCCAUGUGAAUAAUGUGUAAUUGAGUCCUGCCUUAAAAAAGCGUUGAUAAAAACUUAUCCACUUUCAACAACGGGAUCUCUUGGCUCUCGGCAUCGAUGAAGAACGCAGCGAAAUGCGAUAAGUAAUGUGAAUUGCAGAUUUUCAGUGAAUCAUCGAAUCUUUGAACGCACCUUGCGCUCCUUGGUAUUCCGAGGAGCAUGCCUGUUUGAGUGUCAUUAAAUUCUCAACUCCCUGAUUGAUUUCUCGGAGCUUGGACUUGGAGUGUGCUGGCGAAGGUCGGCUCCUCUGAAAUGCAUCAGCGGAAUUCAAUCUUUUGGCUUCUGGAUGUCAGUGUGAUAAUGAUGUUGCGCUGUCGUCCGAGGCUCAAAGGUCCGCUUACAAUGGUCUUUAGGACAACUUUAUAUCAAAUUUGACCUCAAAUCAGGUAGGACUACCCGCUGAACUUAAGCAUAUCAAUAAGCGGAGGAAAAGAAACUAACAAGGAUUCCCCUAGUAACUGCGAGUGAAGCGGGAAAAGCUCAAAUUUAAAAUCUGGCGGUCUCUGGCCGUCCGAGUUGUAAUCUGGAGAAGUGUUUUCCGCGUUGGACCGUGUACAAGUCUUCUGGAAGGGAGCGUCGUAGAGGGUGAGAAUCCCGUCUUUGACACGGACUACCAAUGCUUUUGUGAUGCGCUCUCGAAGAGUCGAGUUGUUUGGGAAUGCAGCUCAAAAUGGGUGGUAAAUUCCAUCUAAAGCUAAAUAUUGGCGAGAGACCGAUAGCGAACAAGUACCGUGAGGGAAAGAUGAAAAGCACUUUGGAAAGAGAGUUAAACAG
rnacentral:rRNA from 1 species